GACGAACGCUGGCGGCGUGCUUAACACAUGCAAGUCGAACGGAAAGGCCCUGCUUUUGUGGGGUGCUCGAGUGGCGAACGGGUGAGUAACACGUGAAUAACCUGCCCUUGACUUUGGGAUAACUUCAGGAAACUGGGGCUAAUACCGGAUCGGAGCUCCUGCUGCAUGGUGGGGGUUGGAAAGUUUCGGCGGUUGGGGAUGGACUCGCGGCUUAUCAGCUUGUUGGUGGGGUAGUGGCUUACCAAGGCUUUGACGGGUAGCCGGCCUGAGAGGGUGACCGGCCACAUUGGGACUGAGAUACGGCCCAGACUCCUACGGGAGGCAGCAGUGGGGAAUAUUGCACAAUGGGCGGAAGCCUGAUGCAGCAACGCCGCGUGCGGGAUGACGGCCUUCGGGUUGUAAACCGCUUUCGCCUGUGACGAAGCGUGAGUGACGGUAAUGGGUAAAGAAGCACCGGCUAACUACGUG
rnacentral:rRNA from 1 species